GGGGUAUAGCUCAGUUUGGCUAGAGCGUCUGCCUUGCACGCAGAAGGUCGUCGGUUCGAGCCCGACUAUCUCC
rnacentral:tRNA from 1 species